ACAAAGCAAAAAAUUAAAAUAAUUUUUUGAUAAAUUUGUAAAUAUUUAACUUAGUUUUUACCUGAAUCACUUAAGUAAAUAAGAUUCUGGAUUCUGAUGGUCUGGCAACCCUGCCUGACUGUUCUGCACGCUCAUUUUUUUCUAACCAUUUUUUACUUUUUUUCAACCAUUUUAUGAUAUUUCUCGAAGAACUUCGAAAAUUGUUGUUUUUUAACCAAGAUCAAUUGUUGAAUUUUAACCAUUUCAUGAGUUCCAAACGAAAUCGCAGAAAAUGGUUAAAUUCAAUGAAGAAAAAGUUUUGCGGCCAUUGUUUUCCAUACUAUCGAAAAUGUUGGCACAUUUGCAGCGCAUCAAAUAUUCAUUUUACGGCUUCUCGAUCUGCCCCCGUAUGCCGGACAAAUUCACAAUCGAGGAACUGGAAGAAGAACCGAGUGGCCAUCAGAUCCGGCGGAACAAGUUUGAAUACCGGUGGCACAGUACAAUCAAAUUACAAACUCGUCCAGCAGUGGAAAAGUGCUGUUCCGCAAUCGAGAUGGUACAGGAAGUGGAACAGACCACGGGCUAUUCCGAAUUAUGUGCUUAGAAAUUGGGUUCCAGAAAAGAUAACACUCGUUUAGAUGAAGAAACGUCAGCUUCGAAUGGAUGAAUCUUCUCUGUGAACAGCCAGGAGCCAGGAGCUGUUCCAGAAAAUUUUCAGUGAAAGUGAAUUUGAAUUGAGCGUUAAGCGUUCUUUCCGACAACCGGAUCGGCUGGAUGGUCUCAUUCAAGAAGUCAUUCUGAACUGCCGGAACAAAAAAUAACAGGGGUCUCUUUACAGUUUCGUCGACACAUGUCAUAAAUGGAGGUUGCAUAGUGAGCCGGAUACAAGAAAAACUAUUUCAACCGGAGAUUUGA